UACGGGGGGAGCAAGCGUUGUUCGGAUUUACUGGGCGUAAAGGGCGCGUAGGCGGUCGUGACAAGUCACUUGUGAAAUCUCCGGGCUUAACUCGGAACGGUCAAGUGAUACUGUCGGACUAGAGUACAGAAGGGGGCAACUGGAAUUCUCGGUGUAGCGGUGAAAUGCGUAGAUAUCGAGAGGAACACCUGCGGCGAAGGCGGGUUGCUGGGCUGAUACUGACGCUGAGGCGCGAAAGCCCAGGGGAGCGAACGGGG
rnacentral:rRNA from 1 species